rnacentral:rRNA from 1 species
UACGUAGGGUCCGAGCGUUGUCCGGAAUUAUUGGGCGUAAAGGGCUCGUAGGCGGUCCGUCACGUCGGGAGUGAAAACUCAGGGCUCAACCCUGAGCGUGCUUCCGAUACGGGCGGACUAGAGGUAUGCAGGGGAGAACGGAAUUCCUGGUGUAGCGGUGGAAUGCGCAGACAUCAGGAGGAACACCGGUGGCGAAGGCGGGUCUCUGGGCAACAACUGACGCUGAGGAGCGAAAGCGUGGGGAGCGAACAGG